ACUGCGAAUGGCUCAUUAAAUCAGUUAUCGUUUAUUUGAUAGUACCUUACUACUUGGAUAACCGUGGUAAUUCUAGAGCUAAUACAUGCUGAAAACCCCAACUUCGGGAGGGGUGUAUUUAUUAGAUAAAAAACCAACGCCCUUCGGGGCUUCUUGGUGAUUCAUGAUAACUUCACGGAUCGCAUGGCCUUGCGCCGGCGACGGUUCAUUCAAAUUUCUGCCCUAUCAACUUUCGAUGGUAAGGUAUUGGCUUACCAUGGUUUCAACGGGUAACGGGGAAUUAGGGUUCGAUUCCGGAGAGGGAGCCUGAGAAACGGCUACCACAUCCAAGGAAGGCAGCAGGCGCGCAAAUUACCCAAUCCCGACACGGGGAGGUAGUGACAAUAAAUACUGAUACAGGGCUCUUUUGGGUCUUGUAAUUGGAAUGAGUACAAUUUAAACCUCUUAACGAGGAACAAUUGGAGGGCAAGUCUGGUGC
rnacentral:rRNA from 1 species